rnacentral:lncRNA from 1 species
GGGCCAGACGAGUGCAAGGCUGGGCGCCAGGCUUUGGGACAGGGUGGGCACGAGUACAGAGUUACAGACAUGAGACCUCUGCUCUCAGAAUGGCCUGGGAGGAGUUUCAUGGCCUGGUGAACAGCAGCGGCCGCUGAUCGGACGCUCCCCCUCUGUCUCUCCCACUCAGGGGACAAUUCAAGCUUUCGAAAUACAAAGAUCGCGUUGUGAAAGUACACCAGCUGGCAGUAACCCUUUUCUGUGUGUGUGUGUCUGUCCAAAGCGGACGGGAGGUCUCCAGCUGCUCCUUCUGUCUGCUCACUGAAGGGACGUCCCUGAGCCGCGUGCUCCCCUUUUGCACUCACUCCUGGAGGACGGGUUCCGCUAGACACCCUCCAGCAUCGCUGACUUUAUAAAGCGGAGAAAACGGAAAACGUGACUUUAUAAUAGACAAACUUUUUUUAAGGGGGUUCCGUGGGGGGCGGGUCAGCCUUUCAUUUUGCUGUGUGCUGUCCAGGUGCCUCUCGGGCAUUCUGCCGUGCUCUCCUCUGCUGUACGAAGGGCAUCGUGACCACGUGUACAAGCCAGAGCCGUGGGCUGAGAGUGACCAGUAUUAUGAAUGUCUGUGCCUCCAGGAAGAGCUUCGUGUUGGAGAGUCCCGGAAUAGCUAUAAAUGCUCUCUUCUAGAUCUGCCGUUCAGUUAUUGGGACAUUUUGUUUAUUUCACCCCCUCUUCCCCCGAGCCCACCACUUUCUGAAAUUGUGUCACCGACGGUGUAUAGGCUCCUGCCUUAUGCCCUCCAGCUCUCCCUCUGGUGGGACACUUUUGAGGCACUGCUGCACUUAGAAUUUUAGUCCAGUGGGCCACACUGGUUUCACGGAGGUGGCUUAGAAGGCAUGAUUAAGCCAGAGUGGAAUCCAGUUUGAUGAGGAGCUAAGUUAUAACAGAGGUUCCAAGUGCAGGGUUUGGAGCUGAGGGUAGUUUCUGAAACCAUUUUCCCAAUGAGCAGGGCCUGUGUGUCCAGCCUGUUGGUGCACGUUCUUGCACGCCCCUCCCUGGGGAAGGGAGGCAAAGCUGGUGGUCGUCAGGUGUUAACACUCAGGACAGGGAGUUCUGUGAUCCUGAAGCUGGGCCAUGUGAGGGACAAGGGACCACGCUGGAUGGCUGGCUGCGCCCGGCUGCGCCUGGCUGCAGUGGUGGGAGAACCUGCUUCCAGCCCUCGUCACAUGGUGUGCGUGUCAGCAGCUGUGUGCUGCUCGGGGAGGCCAGGACAGCAACCUGGCAGGCCCUCAAAGUGACAGGCACACGUCAGAGAAGCUGGGUGACCAGACUCCGGAGGGACUGAUGUCAGAGAGGUCAGCGAGCACCCAGGUUGCAACAGGUACUGGGGACCAGUCCCACUGCAGCCUCCAAGGAGCACUGUCUUACUUGGCUCUUGUGAGCAGAGACCACAGUACCUUAAAUUAAGGCCUCUCCUAAAACCUGUCCUUGCAGACCAGCGGGCCUGAGCCACCUGGUCUCGAGAAAUCGUGUGAGAGGAGCAGGCAUUUCCUUACUGUAUUUAUACUCCUCUCUUCCUACUUUCCAACUACUGAGCACCCCCUGGCUACCCCUGUCUUGGGGUGCUUUUUCCUAAAAGAACAGGGGAGCACAGGAGCCAAAGGGAGGUGCCUCCGUUACAGGUGAAGUUGGAUCGGAUAAGAAGAUCUAGCAGUCAUUUCAGUUCUAGGAAUAUGAAGAAUAAAUUCUACGGCCCAGACAGUUGUGAAGGGCUCAGACAGAUAUAUGAGUGACAUUGGCAAAAAUGGGGAACAAAGGCUGCCUCCUGAGCGUAGACCCCAGGGAGGGCUUCACUUUGGCCUAAACUCAACAUUUGCCACGAAGAUUCCAAAGAGAGCAGCCAUUUGGAUUAGCCCUCCUGGAACGUGUACCGGACAAUUAUUAGUGUGUGUGUGGGUGAGUGGGUGCGUGUGUGUGACGUGUUCCCAAGUGACCGUUACGUCAGGCCGACUGCUUAGGUAUCUUGUCUGUAUUUGUGUUUUUCCUUUUUUUGGGUCUCAUUUGGUGGAAUUUUUUAGUCUCCUGUAUUUUCUAAAGGCGCUUGUGUUUCCCCGCCUUCCUCUUUGUCUUCGCAGUGUUUGAACAUUAUUUUUUCCCAUCAAAAAUAUACCAGCUAGAACAAGGGUUAUUUCUGCUAAGCAGCCUCUUCCCCCCGAGAGCUCUCCAGACACUCGGCCUAACAACUGCCCCUUGGAGACUGAAGAGGCAGUUUCCCCAAACCACCCACUUUCCUCACAGGCUUGCGAGGCCUUUUCAGUUCUUCUUGACUCCGUGGGCCUCCGCAGCGCUGAGACAGGACGUGGUUGCCGUUGUGGUGUCCCCAGUUCUAGAGGCAAAGGGGAGAAGGUGCACCAGGGCCAACCUAGCCAACGUGUUAGGUCGCUGCUGGGAGAUGGGGUGUCACUGUCACUGCAUAGGCGGGCUGUCCCCAGGACCCCUCAGAAAGCGGCCCCCCCUCCUCUCCAGUGCUCUUCUCAUUUAUCCUAAGAUUCGUGUGUGCGUGUGCGUGUGUGUUCCCUGUGACGUUGGCAGUGACGGUAAUUUUCCACCCAGAGAGAAGCUUGUGGUCCACGAUGCUCCAGGAAUGAAUUUCCAAGUAUUGGCCAUUGGAGGAGCAGAGGCUGUGACAAGAUGGUUUAGUGUUGCACUUUCAGAGCAAUUGUCUACUGCAGUAAUAAA